rnacentral:rRNA from 1 species
GACGAACCGUGCGAACGUUGUUCGGAAUCACUGGGCUUAAAGGGCGCGUAGGCGGGCUGACAAGUCUGGGGUGAAAUGCCGCGGCUCAACCGUGGAACUGCCUUAAGAUACUGUCGGCCUCGAGGAAGGUGAGGGGCAUGCGGAACUGUAGGUGGAGCGGUGAAAUGCGUUGAUAUCUACAGGAACUCCGGUGGCGAAAGCGGCGUGCUGGACCUUUUCUGACGCUGAGGCGCGAAAGCUAGGGGAGCAAACGGG